rnacentral:SRP_RNA from 2 species
ACUGGGCCUUGUAACGUGGGCCUGUAACCCAAGUGGGAGCAAUAAGGUGAUGGAACAUUAGGCCCAUUUAGAUGAUUUGUGGGCUUUGCUUAAUGCUAGCCUUGCCCCUAUCCAAACAUUGAGUUGGGCCUUGUUGUUGUGUCUGUGCGGCGGCAUGGGUGCCGUGCCCUCUUCGCAAAGGAGGGCACGGUGUCAGGCUGGUUUCACGGAGCAGCGAUAUUGUCCUUCUUUGUGUAGUGGAAGGAGCGGGCUGGCGCUUUCAAGCCCACUAACUUAUCGAGAUGGGUAAUUGAACCAUCACCUUU